UCUCGCAUCGAUGAAGAACGCAGCGAAAUGCGAUAAGUAAUGUGAAUGCAGAAAUUCAGUGAAUCAUCGAAUCUUUGAACGCACCUGNCGCUCCCUGGUAUUCCGGGGAGCACGCCCGUNUGAGUGUCAUGGUAUUCUCAACCUCUAUAACUUUUGUUACUGAGGCUUGGACUUGGAGGUUGUGCUGGCUCUCGUUAGUCGGCUCCUCUUAAAUGCAUUAGCGUGAACGUUACGGAUCGCUAUCAGUGUGAUAAUUAUCUGCGCUGUUAGUGUUGAAGUAUAGUAAGCUUGCGCUUCUAACCGUCCUUCAGUUGGACAACUUACUCUGACAUCUGACCUCAAAUCGGGCGGGACUACCCGCUGAACUUAAGCAUAUCAAUAAGCGGAGGAAAAGAAACUAACAAGGAUUCCCCUAGUAACUGCGAGUGAAGCGGGAAAAGCUCAAAUUUAAAAUCUGGCAGUCUUUGACUGUCCGAGUUGUAGUCUGGAGAAGCGUUUUCCGUGC
rnacentral:rRNA from 1 species